UACGAAGGGUCCAAGCGUUAUCCGGAUUUAUUGGGUUUAAAGGGUGCGUAGGCGGUCUAUUAAGUCAGUGGUGAAAGCCCCAAGCUCAACUUGGGAACUGCCAUUGAUACUGAUGGACUUGAGUACAUUUGAGGUGGGCGGAAUGUGUCAUGUAGCGGUGAAAUGCUUGGAUAUGACACAGAACACCGAUUGCGAAGGCAGCUCACUAAACUGUAACUGACGCUGAGGCACGAAAGCGUGGGGAGCAAACAGG
rnacentral:rRNA from 1 species